AACGAACGCUGGCGGCAUGCCUAACACAUGCAAGUCGAACGAGCCCUUCGGGUCUAGUGGCGCACGGGUGCGUAACGCGUGGGAACCUGCCCUUAGGUUCGGAAUAACUCCCCGACAGGGGUGCUAAUACCGGAUAAUGUCUUCGGACCAAAGAUUUAUCGCCUUUGGAUGGGCCCGCGUUGGAUUAGCUAGUUGGUAGGGUAAAAGCCUACCAAGGCGACGAUCCAUAGCUGGUCUGAGAGGAUGAUCAGCCACACUGGGACUGAGACACGGCCCAGACUCCUACGGGAGGCAGCAGUGGGGAAUAUUGGACAAUGGGCGAAAGCCUGAUCCAGCAAGGCCGCGUGAGUGAUGAAGGCCUGAGGGUUGUAAAGCUCUUUUACCCGGGAUGAUAAUGACAGUACCGGGAGAAUAAGCGCCGGCUAACUCCGUG
rnacentral:rRNA from 1 species